AGACAGCAGCCGCCGCGGUAAUACGAGGGGGGCAAGCGUUGUUCGGAAUUAUUGGGCGUAAAGGGCGCGUAGGCGGUUUGGCAAGUUUCGUGUGAAAUCUUCGGGCUCAACUCGAAGUCUGCACGGAAAACUGCCGGGCUUGAGUAUGGGAGAGGUGAGUGGAAUUUCCGGUGUAGCGGUGAAAUGCGUAGAUAUCGGAAGGAACACCUGUGGCGAAAGCGGCUCACUGGACCAUUACUGACGCUGAGGCGCGAAAGCUGGGGGAGCAAACAGGAUUAGAUACCCGCGUAGUCCCUGUCUCUUAUAC
rnacentral:rRNA from 1 species